AUGCUUACAUUUGUCUCCAUACACACAAGCACAAACUGAUAACAGCCAUGAUAAAUGCACACUCGGGUGUCUUUAGGGAUCACAAGGGUCCCUGCGGAGAAAAAAAUAAUCAAUUGAAUAAUAUCAGCAAUAUUUCUCUCCUAGUCCACACAAUGAAGAAUGCAAAGGAUGGCAAAUUUGAGCAUCACUUUAUGAUCCCUGCCGAAACGGUCCACUCCUACAAAGCUGAAGACCAAUUUAGUGUGAUCAUAUGUCAUAGCAUCUUCUUUUUGUUUUUCUCAAGACACAAUAUUAUGCUAUAUCGAGAUCUGAUCCUUUAUCCAGAUCAUGGUUAAGUUAAAAUCCAAAAUGACAGAUAAAAUACACCCCUCGCCUGUAGCAUGAUGAGAAGGCUUUCUUACCAUGCACAAUAGGUGAACGCACAGUUCCAGUGGGUUCACAAUGGCAGUAUUACAAGGUCAGCUCUGAGGUUUCGCCUGGCUCAGCAAAGACCUGCAGGGCUGUGGGGCAUGCUGCUCAGCUGACGGGGCUCUUUGCUUGUUCACGGUGCUCUUUCUCGAAGGGGCCCCAGUGACAGAGCCAUUCACAAGCACGGGCCAUAAAUGACCGAGUUGAACACCACAUUAGGCACUGCAUUCUCAGAAACCAGCAUUGCCUCUGGAGCACAGCCAAAAUGCCAGGAACGAAAGGUAAUAAGUCGGACAAGAAGUCAGCUACCAAGCAACCUCAGAGUCCUAAAGAGCAGCCGAAGAAAGGUGAUCAGAAAGGAGAUGAUAACAAGAAGCAAGGAGGACAGCCGAAGGGAGAGAAGCAAUAACUUCCAGGCAUUCGUGAAGAUGGCUUUGGAGACGCUGCUGGGGUCCUGUCGUCGUAAACAUGGGGGUCCUCGGGGCAGACAGGGCUGAGCGUCCCUCCCCUCCCCUCCGCACUUUUCCCCCAGAGCCUACAGACUGCAGUGACGUU